CAUCCUCUGAACUUUCCAGAGAUAGAUUGUGUCCUUCGGGACCUGAGAGACAGGUGCUGCAUGGGUUGUCCUCAGCUCGUGUUGUGAAAUGUUGGGUUAAGUCCCGCAAAGAGCGCAAACCUUAUCCUUUGUUGCCAGCGGUUCGGCCGGGAAUUCAAAGGAGACUGCCAGUGAUAAACUGGAGGAAGGUGGGGAUGACGUCAAGUCAUCAUGGCCCUUUGGCCCAGGGCUACACACGUGUUCCAAUGGCAUAUACAAAGAGAAGAGGCCUCGCGAGAGCAAGCGGUCUUCAUAAAGUAUUUUGUAGUCCGGAUUGGAGUUUCCAAUUGGAUUCCAGGAAGUGGGAAUCGUUAGUAAUGGUAGAUCAGAAUGCUCCGGUGAAUACUUUCCCGGCCUUGGUACCCACCGCCCGUCACACCAUGGGAGUGGUAACCAAAGAAGUUGGGGGGGUAAACCUUUUGGGAGCGCGACGGCCC
rnacentral:rRNA from 1 species